CUAUGGACUAAAGUCCAUGGCGGAAGGAG
rnacentral:ncRNA from 1 species